rnacentral:lncRNA from 1 species
GGUUUGCACCAUUGAACUAUAAAUAAACUGGAAGGCUAACUGCUAUGAUGAAGGCCUAUGAUUUGAUGAAGCCAAAAUAGUUUUUCUGAGUUAUAAGCAGAAAUACUUGACCCCAAACGUCGGGUUAUAUAUCAAAUUGAAGCUAUUGAAAAUUGCUAUUCGGUGUAGAAAUUUCAAGACUUCAGCGAAGAGAAAAAUAUUUUAAAAAUACGAAAAC